UACGUAGGGUGCGAGCGUUGUCCGGAAUUAUUGGGCGUAAAGGGCUCGUAGGCGGUUUGUCGCGUCGGGAGUGAAAACGCCGUGCUUAACACGGCGCUUGCUUUCGAUACGGGCAGACUAGAGGUAUUCAGGGGAGAACGGAAUUCCUGGUGUAGCGGUGAAAUGCGCAGAUAUCAGGAGGAACACCGGUGGCGAAGGCGGUUCUCUGGGACGGUACUGACGCUGAGGAGCGAAAGCGUGGGGAGCGAACAGG
rnacentral:rRNA from 1 species